rnacentral:rRNA from 1 species
AGAGUUUGAUCAUGGCUCAGAUUGAACGCUGGCGGCAGGCCUAACACAUGCAAGUCGAGCGGAUGAAGGGAGCUUGCUCCUGGAUUCAGCGGCGGACGGGUGAGUAAUGCCUAGGAAUCUGCCUGGUAGUGGGGGAUAACGUCCGGAAACGGGCGCUAAUACCGCAUACGUCCUGAGGGAGAAAGUGGGGGAUCUUCGGACCUCACGCUAUCAGAUGAGCCUAGGUCGGAUUAGCUAGUUGGUGGGGUAAAGGCCUACCAAGGCGACGAUCCGUAACUGGUCUGAGAGGAUGAUCAGUCACACUGGAACUGAGACACGGUCCAGACUCCUACGGGAGGCAGCAGUGGGGAAUAUUGGACAAUGGGCGAAAGCCUGAUCCAGCCAUGCCGCGUGUGUGAAGAAGGUCUUCGGAUUGUAAAGCACUUUAAGUUGGGAGGAAGGGCAGUAAGUUAAUACCUUGCUGUUUUGACGUUACCAACAGAAUAAGCACCGGCUAACUUCGUGCCAGCAGCCGCGGUAAUACGAAGGGUGCAAGCGUUAAUCGGAAUUACUGGGCGUAAAGCGCGCGUAGGUGGUUCAGCAGGUUGGAUGUGAAAUCCCCGGGCUCAACCUGGGAACUGCAUCCAAAACUACUGAGCUAGAGUACGGUAGAGGGUGGUGGAAUUUCCUGUGUAGCGGUGAAAUGCGUAGAUAUAGGAAGGAACACCAGUGGCGAAGGCGACCACCUGGACUGAUACUGACACUGAGGUGCGAAAGCGUGGGGAGCAAACAGGAUUAGAUACCCUGGUAGUCCACGCCGUAAACGAUGUCGACUAGCCGUUGGGAUCCUUGAGAUCUUAGUGGCGCAGCUAACGCGAUAAGUCGACCGCCUGGGGAGUACGGCCGCAAGGUUAAAACUCAAAUGAAUUGACGGGGGCCCGCACAAGCGGUGGAGCAUGUGGUUUAAUUCGAAGCAACGCGAAGAACCUUACCUGGCCUUGACAUGCUGAGAACUUUCCAGAGAUGGAUUGGUGCCUUCGGGAACUCAGACACAGGUGCUGCUUGGCUGUCGUCAGCUCGUGUCGUGAGAUGUUGGGUUAAGUCCCGUAACGAGCGCAACCCUUGUCCUUAGUUACCAGCACCUCGGGUGGGCACUCUAAGGAGACUGCCGGUGACAAACCGGAGGAAGGUGGGGAUGACGUCAAGUCUUCAUGGCCCUUACGGCCAGGGCUACACACGUGCUACAAUGGUCGGUACAAAGGGUUGCCAAGCCGCGAGGUGGAGCUAAUCCCAUAAAACCGAUCGUAGUCCGGAUCGCAGUCUGCAACCCGACUGCGUGAAGUCGGAAUCGCUAGUAAUCGUGAAUCAGAAUGUCACGGUGAAUACGUUCCCGGGCCUUGUACACACCGCCCGUCACACCAUGGGAGUGGGUUGCUCCAGAAGUAGCUAGUCUAACCGCAAGGGGGACGGUUACCACGGAGUGAUUCAUGACUGGGGUGAAGUCGUAACAAGGUA